GGUCGAAUGGUGUAGCGGUUAUCACGUCCGCCUCACAUUGAUACAGUGUGGACGCGGAAGGCCCCGGGUUCAAUCCCCGGUUCGACCU